rnacentral:rRNA from 1 species
GAUGAACGCUAGCGACAGGCUUAACACAUGCAAGUCGAGGGGCAGCACAGGUAGCAAUACCGGGUGGCGACCGGCGCACGGGUGAGUAACGCGUAUGCAACUUACCUAUCAGAGGGGGAUAACCCGGCGAAAGUCGGACUAAUACCGCAUGAAGCAGGGGUCCCGCAUGGGGAUAUUUGCUAAAGAUUCAUCGCUGAUAGAUAGGCAUGCGUUCCAUUAGGCAGUUGGCGGGGUAACGGCCCACCAAACCGACGAUGGAUAGGGGUUCUGAGAGGAAGGUCCCCCACAUUGGUACUGAGACACGGACCAAACUCCUACGGGAGGCAGCAGUGAGGAAUAUUGGUCAAUGGCCGAGAGGCUGAACCAGCCAAGUCGCGUGAGGGGUGAAGGUUCUAUGGAUCGUAAACCUCUUUUAUAAGGGAAUAAAGUGCGGGACGUGUCCCGUUUUGUAUGUACCUUAUGAAUAAGGAUCGGCUAACUCCGU